UGGGGAAUAUUGCGCAAUGGGGGAAACCCUGACGCAGCAACGCCGCGUGAGUGAGGAAGGACUUCGGUCUGUAAAGCUCUGUUAAUGUGGAAAAAUGGUAUGUGGUCUAAUAGGCCAUAUAUUUGAUGGUACACAUAGAGGAAGCACCGGCUAACUUCGUGCCAGCAGCCGCGGUAAUACGAAGGGUGCAAGCGUUGUUCGGAUUUAUUGGGCGUAAAGCGCGCGUAGGCGGACCUGCAAGUCAGAUGUGAAAUCUCGGGGCUCAACCCCGAAACUGCGUCUGAAACUACAGGUCUAGAAUCUUGGAGGGGGAAGGGGAAUUUCGCAUGUAGGGGUAAAAUCCGUAGAUAUGCGAAGGAACACCAGAGGCGAAGGCGCCUUCCUGGACAAGUAUUGACGCUGAGGCGCGAAAGCGUGGGGAUCAAACAGG
rnacentral:rRNA from 1 species